rnacentral:rRNA from 1 species
UAAGAAUAUUGCUCAAUGGAGAAAUCCUGAAGCAGCAACGCCGCGUGGAGGAUGAAGGGUUUUUAACUUGUGAACUCCUGUAAAGAAGGAAAAAAUUCCCAUUAGAUGGGAAAUGAUGGUACUUCUGGAGUAAGCCCCGGCUAACUACGUGCCAGCAGCCGCGGUAAUACGUAGGGGGCAAGCGUUGUCCGGAUUUACUGGGUGUAAAGGGUGCUCAGGCGGAUUUGUAAGUCAGAGGUGAAAUCUCACAGCUUAACUGUGAAACUGCCUUUGAUACUGCAAGCCUAGAGUAUGGAAAGAGAGUGAUGGAAUAUCUGGUGUAGCAGUGAAAUGCGUAGAUAUCAGAUAGAACACCAAUGGCGAAGGCAGUCACUUGGUCCAUAACUGACGCUAAAGCACGAAAGCGUGGGUAGCAAACAGGAUUAGAUACCCUGGUAGUCCACGCCCUAAACGAUGAAUACUAGAUGUUGGCUUCGCAUGAAGUCAGUAUCUGAGCUAACGCAUUAAGUAUUCCACCUGGGAAGU